CCGUCUAGGGCGCAUGCGUCUAGAGAGCCUCCGAAAGCAACGGGGAGGGGCGCCGUGAAGAACGCCCACGGAAGGCGGCGGUGUUAAAACCGCGGUUUCCUCACAGUUCCGAAAGAUGGCGCCACCGGGUGACAGCAGGGAAUGAAAUCGUUUGCCGAGAAAGCUGUAAGCUGCAAUAUUUGCAGUAUGAUUUCAGUUAUUCUCUUGUUAAUUUUGAAGCUGCUGAAUCAACAUUUCCUCCUCCACCUCCCUUUCUCAACUUCAGGAAGAUAUUGUAAGCAUUUGUAACAAAGAGAGCAAAUUUUGGAGCAGUUAACCUGGCCAGCAGUAACAAGUACCUCACUCUCUGAACAUAGUGAUGAACUGGGAGCCGGUGAUGUCUUUUCUGAAUUUUGUCCCUCCAGUCCUUCCAAAAAUGUUAUAAAUGCCUUACUAUUUGAA